rnacentral:rRNA from 1 species
CGGCCAGACUCCUACGGGAGGCAGCAGUAGGGAAUCUUUCACAAUGGGCGAAAGCCUGAUGGAGCAACGCCGCGUGCAGGAUGAAGGCCUUCGGGUUGUAAACUGCUUUUAUAAGCGAGAAAUAUGAUGGUAACUUAUGAAUAAGGAUCGGCUAACUACGUGCCAGCAGCCGCGGUAAUACGGAGGAUGCGAGCGUUAUCCGGAUUUAUUGGGUUUAAAGGGUGCGUAGGCGGAAUAUCAAGUCAGCGGUAAAAAUUCGGGGCUCAACCCCGUCGUGCCGUUGAAACUGGCGAACUCGAGAGGGAGAGAAGUAGGCGGAAUGCGCAGUGUAGCGGUGAAAUGCAUAGAUAUUGCGCAGAACUCCGAUUGCGAAGGCAGCCUACCGGCUCCUAUCUGACGCUGAGGCACGAAAGCGUGGGUAUCGAACAGGAUUAGAUACCCUUGUACCC